GGAUUGUGGCUCAGUGGUAGAGUGCAUGCCUCGCACGUUUGAUGCACUGGGUUCAAUCCUCAGCAUCA
rnacentral:tRNA from 1 species